GGGGAGGUAGGGCCGCCGCCGGGUUGGGACGGGUGUGGGGAGCUGAGACCGUUGCUCUCCUCCUUUGGUGGCCGUGCUGGGCCGCCAGGGCCCCCAAUCGCCUUGCGAUCCGUUUACAAACCCAGGCCAGCCUGGGGCUCUCAGCGGCGGGGAGGCCACCUGAACCGCCCCGCAGGGCCUCUGGCAUCACCAGGAAGGGCACCCUUGGAAGGGGCAGCUCGGCCCCGGGCCCUUGAAGCAGAGCCCUCCGCCGAAGUGAGCCCCAGGUGGGACGGCCUAUUUUCAGGAGGCCCCCGGCAGGGUCUUAGACUCCAAAGCCUGUGAAGCAGCCCAGCGCCCAGCGGUCAGGAGCUUCAAGGAUGAGACAGGGACUCGUCCCUUCCAGGAACGUCCUGCCUUCACCUGUUCUUCAGGUGUGCCAGCAAGUCUGGGUGCAGCAACAGGAGACACAGACAGAGGGAGGAGCAGGCUCCCUGCAGGGAGCCGGAAGCAUGACUCAAUCCCAGACCCCCAGGAUCAUGCCCUGAACCAAAGGCAGGUGCCCAACGACUGAGCCACUCAGGCGUCCCAAUCUUUGUGGUUUUAGUCAUCGAAAUCCCUGUAGAUAUUACGUAGCCCUUGAUAGCACCUUCUCCCCUUUCUUCAGUGGCUAAUAAAACAUUGGACCCUCUCUGA